AACAAAUUUCCAUGCUAUGGCCAACACGCCCUCAGUAUGAGAGAAGUCUCAUAUCAUGAAAUUAGUCUAAUAAAUUACCAUGGACCUCUUUGAAGAGAGAUCAUCUCUGCCCAGCACACAAAGUCCCCAGGAAAUCAUUUUGGCUUCUCACAAAAUUUCUAAAUGAAAAGGUGUCUGUAUAUUUACACGCAAUAUAACAUUUGGACUACACAUACCAAAAUCAAGCACCUGAACUUCCAGAUUCAGAAUACUAAGGUAUAAUAACGACAAAAGAAAUAGACAAUAAACGAACACAUAUAAACAUCUCUGGAAAUAACUACCACAGACUUGGAGAAAAUACACAAAGGCUAAAUGAGACAACAAAAUAGAGCAAGUGGUAUUUCACUAAAGAAUGUAAUGCAAUGGCACUUUAAAGAUCAUAAAGGAAAUCAAUAAGUUAUUGAGUCAGAGUAAUCGAAGUUUCCAUAUAUUUUCAAAAUUCAUCUUAAGAAAAUUGCACCUGAAGCAACAGAGAUUUCAUGCAUGAUAGUAGGAGAAGUUACAGGGAGAUUUUCCUAACUGAAGCAAAACCUGUGCUAAUAUCGCCGAGAUCCCCUAAAUAUGGAAUUGAUUGCAGUUUGCUACCAAUAUCUGAACCUGCAAUUGCUUGUUGAGUGCUUUGCAAAGAUAAAAAUCCGCACAUCAGCAUAAAUUUCAAAUGAUUAUGUGAUGGAGAAGUAAGAACUAAGAAAUCCAACGACUUUGGGCUUUUCUUCCUUGAAUUAUUUGACGAAGCUAACUUUCUUGUAAUAUUGCAGCCCGCACCAGUACGAGAUAACAGGGUAAGGUUGCAACACUUCCCCUUUCUGCUUUUAAGUUCCUAUGUCACAAGUUAGCAUUUCAUUGAACUUGCAAUGUAGGUUAAAAGAUGGAAAUAAAAAUUAAACAGCUUUUGGAAAUAAUAUAUUUAAUCCACAUAAACUGAUAAAAUGGAAAGCAACAAAAAUGGAGAUAGUAUCAUUAUAAGAAGCUUUGAUCAAAGAAAUCAUUUAUGUGUUAGAUCACCACAUGUGAAAGCUUGUUACAGUGAAGUGAAUUUUAUAUCUUUAUAUUUAAAACUUCAACACGUCUCUUCACAUGGAUGCUUGAAUCACUUUUUGGCUCGAGGUGAGACACAUUAAAUUUNNN
rnacentral:lncRNA from 1 species